rnacentral:rRNA from 1 species
UACGAAGGGUGCUAGCGUUGUUCGGAAUUACUGGGCGUAAAGCGCGCGUAGGCGGCUAUACAAGUCAGAGGUGAAAUCCCACGGCUCAACCGUGGAACUGCCUUUGAAACUGUAUAGCUGGAGUGUGUGAGGGGAUGGCGGAAUUCCUAAUGUAGAGGUGAAAUUCGUAGAUAUUAGGAGGAACACCGGUGGCGAAGGCGGCCAUCUGGCACACAACUGACGCUGAGGCGCGAAAGCGUGGGGAGCAAACAGG